GCGGGUGUAGCUCAGCGGUAGAGCACUUGCUUGCCAAGCAAGUGGUCGCGGGUUCGAAACCCGUCACCCGCUCCA
rnacentral:tRNA from 1 species